rnacentral:rRNA from 1 species
UACGGGGGGGGGUAAGCGUUGUUCGGAAUUACUGGGCGUAAAGGGCUCGUAGGCGGUUUGUCGCGUCGGGAGUGAAAAUCCAGGGCUUAACUCUGGACUGGCUUCCGAUACGGGCAGACUAGAGGUAUGCAGGGGAGAACGGAAUUCCUGGUGUAGCGGUGAAAUGCGCAGAUAUCAGGAGGAACACCAGUGGCGAAGGCGGCUCACUGGCCCGGUACUGACGCUGAGGUGCGAAAGCGUGGGGAGCAAACAGG